rnacentral:rRNA from 1 species
GAUGAACGCUAGCGAUAGGCUUAACACAUGCAAGUCGAGGGGCAGCACAAGGUAGCUUGCUAUCUGGGUGGCGACCGGCGCACGGGUACGUAACGCGUAUGCAACUUUCCCUAUACAGGAGGCUAACCCGUCCAAAGACGGACUAAUACUGCGUAUGCUCACAACUUGGCAUCAAGUGGUGAGGUACGAAAUUCGGUAUAGGAUAGGCAUGCGUCCCAGUAGCUUGUUGGUGAGGUAACGGCUCACGAAGGCAACGAUGGGUAGGGUAUCUGAGUGGUUUAUCCCUCACACUGGUACCGAGCCCAGGACCAGUGUCCUACGGGAGGCAGCCCUGCGGGAUACAGGUCAAUGGACGAGAGCCUGAUCCAGCCAAGUCGCGUGAAGCAUGACUGUCUUAUGGAUUGUAACCUUCUUUUAUACGGGAAUAACAGGAGUCACGGGUGACUCCCUGCAUGUACCGGAUGAAUAAGCAUCGGCUAACUCCGUG